AAGGACCUGACGACGUGUCCGCGGUCGAAUUCCGGGUAGUAUUCGGAGCAGACUAGAGUACAAGUGCAUUAGAUGUAAGAUAUGUACACUCGGACCGGGUUUGUAUAGCACUUAGGUCUUUCUCGGUACGAGAGGGGGAGAGUCCCGGGUGCGGAAGAGGGAGAAAACCUGAAGGUCAAGGGACUGCAGUGUAAUACUUCAAUGACUGAGUCAUCAAUGGUAACUUAUCAUGCCAAAUGCCAAUCCGCAUCAAAAAUGUCUUACCAUGUUUCGAUACUAUUUAUUGGCUAUUUUGUGAAGUUUUAAGGAUGGCGACUAGUUGAAAACCAGUUAUUAGUUUCGACGAGAGCACAUUAAUAUUUGGCAAAAAGACAGGGUAGUCCAAGUAUUAUAAUUUUUAUGCGAAUUUUCUCCUUCUAUUACUCGUCGGUAAUUCCCAAGGAUGUUUUACAAUUUCUACGCACAAUUUAAUCAUUUUACGCUAAUUGAGUAGGAUAUAGUAAACGGAUUAUCUUGUACAUUUCUAUGACAAUGUUGCACAAACUUCACAACGAACAAUUCAAAGUGGCUCAAGUAAAACUUAUAAAUGCCAAUAUUUUACUAUUCAUAUAAUCAUUAAUUAAUUUUUAGCAGGUAUUAAAAGGUUUUGAUAAAUUAAAAAAUAAAUAAUCAAACUUGAUGCUCUCGGUUAAUUAAGUGAAAUUUAUAUUGUGAAUUAUAAUUUAUACGUGAAGCAUGUGUAAUUUACUUAAAGAUUUUUAAUAAUUUUUUUGUGAGAUACGGACAAUAUUUCAACUUUUCAUAUUUGAAUACUAAGUAAUGUGUGUUAAUUAAGCUUUCAAUGGUCACGUACACGUAUGAUUCUAUUGUCAAUUUUAACUCAUUUAAAAAAUGUACACAAUACAAAUAUAAACAUAAAUUUUAUUAGUUGAGGAAAUUGUCCAGUUCUUUUAACAGUUUAUUUUUAUUUAUUAGCUAUUUAUAAUUUAAAUUAUAAUGUAUUUAAAAAGACGUCCAGACUUUACUGAGUGAAAUUUAAUUCUAUUAUCAAUUUACUAUUAUGAGUGAAAAAAAUAUAGUAGAAAAAGACGUGUCCAUUAAACCUUUAAGUAAGCUGAUUUUUGUUUAAUUCAUGAAUUAUUUCAUACAGUUAAUUAAAAUACACCUCAGUAAAUAUGCUUAUAAUAAAAAAGAAAGCGCUUUUUGUUUAAAAUAUAACAAAAAAACUUUAAAAAUUAUUUAAGUACCUUUAUUAAUUAUAAACAUUUAGUAACAAUAUAUUAUUUGAA